rnacentral:rRNA from 1 species
AUUGAACGCUGGCGGCAGGCUUAACACAUGCAAGUCGAGCGGGGUGAUGGUGCUUGCACUAUCACUUAGCGGCGGACGGGUGAGUAAUGCUUAGGAAUCUGCCUAUUAGUGGGGGACAACAUCUCGAAAGGGAUGCUAAUACCGCAUACGUCCUACGGGAGAAAGCAGGGGAUCACUUGUGACCUUGCGCUAAUAGAUGAGCAUAAGUCGGAUUAGCUAGUUGGUGGGGUAAAGGCCUACCAAGGCGACGAUCUGUAGCGGGUCUGAGAGGGUGAUCCGCCACACUGGGACUGAGACACGGCCCAGACUCCUACGGGAGGCAGCAGUGGGGAAUAUUGGACAAUGGGGGGAACCCUGAUCCAGCCAUGCCGCGUGUGUGAAGAAGGCCUUAUGGUUGUAAAGCACUUUAAGCGAGGAGGAGGCUCUUUUGGUUAAUACCCAGAAUGAGUGGACGUUACUCGCAGAAUAAGCACCGGCUAACUCUGUGCCAGCAGCCGCGGUAA